rnacentral:rRNA from 1 species
UACAGAGGGGGCAAGCGUUGUCCGGAUUUACUGGGCGUACAGCUCGCGCAGGCGGCCGGCUACGUGCCGUGUGACAUACGGAAGCUCAACUUCCGGGGGCCACGGUACACGGGUCGGCUGGAGGCAGGGAGAGGGAUGUGGAAUACCCGGUGGAGCGGUUAAAUGCGUAGAGAUCGGGUGGAACACCAGCGGCGAAGGCGGCAUCCUGGCCCUGUACUGACGCUGAGGCGCGAGAGCGUGGGGAGCGAACCGG